AAGAAAAAUUUAAUGUCACGGCGCUUAGAAAAAGACGUUUUUUGAAAAACGUCUUCAUUUCUCGUUUUCCAAGACGCGUGCCUUCGCUGAUGCUUAACCUUGCCAAUUAAUUAAUGAGUUAAAAAAAGAAAAAGAAACAAACCUCUGCCACUCAAACCUAAUAGAAUAUAACUUUUAUUUCCAAGCAUCAAAGUCACAGAUUCAUUACCCUCUCCCCUCUCUUUCUCCUUCUCCAACAUUAUUCUCUCUCUAAAAUGGCACGAAUGAAGCUCUCUUUGUAGAUAUUGACGAAGCAAUUGAUGAUGAAGAUUUCAAGGUGGUUCCCAAAUCUCAUCUAACUUCUUACCUUAUUCCCAAUCUUGGAAGUGAGGGAGAAUGAAGUAGUAUCCUACCAGAGAGAUUUGAAGAGCCUUAGAAAGAUGGAGUUUCUCUGUGCCCUAGCCUUUCUUGUUGGAAAACUAGUCAUCAACUACGUUGAGCAGAACCACAAGG